CAGUAGCCACGGUAAUACAGAGGGUGCGAGCGUUAAUCGGAUUUACUGGGCGUAAAGCGUGCGUAGGCGGCUUCUUAAGUCGGAUGUGAAAUCCCUGAGCUUAACUUAGGAAUUGCAUUCGAUACUGGGAAGCUAGAGUAUGGGAGAGGAUGGUAGAAUUCCAGGUGUAGCGGUGAAAUGCGUAGAGAUCUGGAGGAAUACCGAUGGCGAAGGCAGCCAUCUGGCCUAAUACUGACGCUGAGGUACGAAAGCAUGGGGAGCAAACAGGAUUAGAUACCCCCGAGUCCCUGUCUCUUAUACA
rnacentral:rRNA from 1 species